UACGUAGGGGGCAAGCGUUGUCCGGAGUUACUGGGCGUAAAGCGUGCGCAGGCGGUUUUGUAAGUCUGUCGUGAAAGCCCCGGGCUCAACCUGGGAAUUGCGAUGGAGACUGCAAGGCUUGAAUCUGGCAGAGGGGGGUAGAAUUCCACGUGUAGCAGGUGAAAUGCGUAGAGAUGUGGAGGAACACCGAUGGCGAAGGCAGCCCCCUGGGUCAAGAUUGACGCUCAUGCACGAAAGCGUGGGGAGCAAACAGGA
rnacentral:rRNA from 1 species